GAGUUUGAUCCCUGGCUCAGGAUGAACGCUAGCGGAACGCCUAACACAUGCAAGUCGAACGGAUUCUGCGUUGUAGCAAUACAUAGUAGAAUUAGUGGCAAACGAGCGAGUAACGCGUGCCUAACCUGCCCUUAAGAUGGGAACAACUACGGAGACGUAGCUAAGUCCCAAUAUGCUCACGAUGGUGAAAUGCCGAUGCGAGGAAAGAUUUAUCGCUUAAGGAGGGGGGCGCGUCCUAUCAGGUAGUUGGUUGAGGUAACGGCUCACCAAGCCUAUGACAGGUAGCUGGUCUGAGAUGAUGUCCAGCCGCGAUGGGACUGAGAUACGGCCCAUACUCCUACGGGAGGCAGCAGUGGGGAAUCUUGCACAAUGGACGAAAGUCUGAUGCAGCGAUCCCGCGUGAAGGAUGAAGCAUUACGGUGUGUAAACUUCUUUUUUGGUGGAAGACGAAUGACGGUACACCAAGAAUAAGAGACGGCUAACUACGUGCCAGCAGCCGCGGUAAUACGUAGGUCUCAAGCGUUAUCCGGAUUUACUGGGCGUAAAGUAUCCGUAGCCUGAUAUGUAAGUCUGUUUUCAAAUCCCACGACUCAAUCGUGGAAAGGGAAUGGAUACUGCAUAUCUAGAAGUUAUUGGGGGUUAGUGGAAUUUCCGGUGGAGCGGUGAAAUGCGUUGAUAUCGGAAAGAACGCCGAAAGCGAAAGCAGCUAACUAUGAUUAACUUGACGGUGAGGGAUGAAAGUUUGGGUAGCAAACGGGAUUAGAUACCCCGGUAGUCCAAACUGUAAAUUAUGCUUGCUAGGUGUUUCGAUCCUUGUGGUCGGAGUGCCGUAAUCUAACGAGUUAAGCAAGUCGCCUGGGUAGUAUAUUCGCAAGAAUGAAACUCAAAGGGAUAGGGGGGGGAAC
rnacentral:rRNA from 1 species